GUCGGAGCAGCACGCAGGUAGAGGUGCACCGGAGGACCUCGACAGAGAGCAUUGUGACUUAGUGGGGUUUUUCAAACGCUUUUAAGACAUCCGUCAUCCAUUUGGCUUUUAAUACACUUGUCCUGACACAGUGACACCAUGUGGAGGAAAGCGGUAUCGCAGCAAGUGACGCUCCUGGAAGAACCUCCUUGUGGGGUCAUCGCAGUGAGGGGCUGAUGCGACUUGUGACCACCUUCAGCUUGCUCCCUCAAACCCAAAACCCCGAACGUGAACUCCUGCUUUGUUGUUUGGGGAGGUGUUCUAAUCGGCCAGUUCCUUCGAUGGAGAAUACCACUCGGCUGAAACCACAAGUCGUUGUUCCCUUGGUGCUUUUGUCGCCCGGUGUCCAUUUACAAGGCUCUGUGACUGCCUAAUGAGGCUCAAGUCCUUGAAGUGGAGGGCUGCUGCUGUGGCAAAAAGAAGAAAGAGAGCACCACGGUGAGACCUGACAACACCGAGUGGAGGACAAGAAUAAACCCCCCC